rnacentral:rRNA from 1 species
AUUGAACGCUGGCGGCAUGCCUUACACAUGCAAGUCGAACGGCAGCGGGCCUUCGGGUGCCGGCGAGUGGCGAACGGGUGAGUAAUGCGUCGGAACGUGCCAUUGAGUGGGGGAUAACGUAGCGAAAGUUACGCUAAUACCGCAUAUUCUGUGAGCAGGAAAGCAGGGGACCGCAAAGGCCUUGCGCUCUUUGAGCGGCCGAUGUCAGAUUAGCUAGUUGGUGAGGUAAAGGCUUACCAAGGCGACGAUCUGUAGCGGGUCUGAGAGGAUGAUCCGCCACACUGGAACUGAGACACGGUCCAGACUCCUACGGGAGGCAGCAGUGGGGAAUUUUGGGACAAUGGGCGCAAGCCUGAUCCAGCCAUGCCGCGUGAGUGAAGAAGGCCUUCGGGUUGUAAAGG